UGGGAAUUUGGACGAAUUGGGCGAAAGCCGAUCCAGCAAUGCCGCGUGUGUGAAGAAGGCCUUCGGGUUGUAAAGCACUUUUGUCCGGAAAGAAAUCCUUGGCUCUAAUACAGUCGGGGGAUGACGGUACCGGAAGAAUAAGCACCGGCUAACUACGUGCCAGCAGCCGCGGUAAUACGUAGGGUGCAAGCGUUAAUCGGAAUUACUGGGCGUAAAGCGUGCGCAGGCGGUUUGCUAAGACCGAUGUGAAAUCCCCGGGCUCAACCUGGGAACUGCAUUGGUGACUGGCAGGCUAGAGUAUGGCAGAGGGGGGUAGAAUUCCACGUGUAGCAGUGAAAUGCGUAGAGAUGUGGAGGAAUA
rnacentral:rRNA from 1 species